rnacentral:rRNA from 1 species
GCUGGCGGCAUGCUUAACACAUGCAAGUCGAACGGAAACGAUGGAGCUUGCUCCAGGCGUCGAGUGGCGGACGGGUGAGUAAUGCAUGGGAAUCUGCCUUUUGCUGGGGGAUAACGUAGGGAAACUUACGCUAAUACCGCAUAAGACCUAAGGGUGAAAGCGGGGGACCGAAAGGCCUCGCGGCAAGAGAUGAGCCCAUGUUGGAUUAGCUAGUUGGUGGGGUAAAGGCCUACCAAGGCGACGAUCCAUAGCUGGUCUGAGAGGAUGAUCAGCCACACUGGGACUGAGACACGGCCCAGACUCCUACGGGAGGCAGCAGUGGGGAAUAUUGGACAAUGGGGGGAACCCUGAUCCAGCAAUGCCGCGUGUGUGAAGAAGGCCUUCGGGUUGUAAAGCACUUUCAGUAGGGAGGAAAGGUGCGUAGUUAAUACCUGCGCAAUUGACGUUACCUACAGAAGAAGCACCGGCUAACUCCGUGCCAGCAGCCGCGGUAAUACGGAGGGUGCGAGCGUUAUUCGGAAUUACUGGGCGUAAAGCGCACGCAGGCGGUUGCCCAAGUCAGAUGUGAAAGCCCC